rnacentral:rRNA from 1 species
AUGAAGAAUCUUGAGGAGUUUGAGCUGAAGGAGGCACAUUCAGAACUCGUUGACGCACAGGCUACCAAAUGGCAGAACCAGAAGUCACCAGUGACUGGCUUUGAGACACCCAUCAAGUCUGUGAUAGGUAAUUGCACAGCUCAAGGUUUGGAUGUUCAGAAUGGCGGAGAGGUUCAGCUGGUAGUCAGUUGUGCCGACAAAGUUGAUCAAGAGCCACCUGAUGGCAGAAAGAUAAUGAGUACAAUGUAUGGUAGGCUAGAGUCUCUUUGCGGCAGCACUCCCGGAAAGUUCAGAAAGCUUGACGGAACAGGACUCAUGUGUGAAAUGCGGUAA